rnacentral:rRNA from 1 species
AUUGAACGCUGGCGGAAUGCUUUACACAUGCAAGUCGAACGGCAGCACGGACUUCGGUCUGGUGGCGAGUGGCGAACGGGUGAGUAAUACAUCGGAACGUGCCCAGUCGUGGGGGAUAACGUAGCGAAAGCUACGCUAAUACCGCAUACGAUCUACGGAUGAAAGCGGGGGAUCGCAAGACCUCGCGCGAUUGGAGCGGCCGAUGGCAGAUUAGGUAGUUGGUAGGGUAAAGGCCUACCAAGCCGACGAUCUGUAGCUGGUCUGAGAGGAUGAUCAGCCACACUGGGACUGAGACACGGCCCAGACUCCUACGGGAGGCAGCAGUGGGGAAUUUUGGACAAUGGACGCAAGUCUGAUCCAGCCAUUCCGCGUGCAGGAUGAAGGCCCUCGGGUUGUAAACUGCUUUUGUACGGAACGAAAAGGCUCUGGUUAAUACCCGGGGCUCAUGACGGUACCGUAAGAAUAAGCACCGGCUAACUACGUGCCAGCCGCCGCUGUAA